rnacentral:lncRNA from 1 species
CGGCUUUGGUCUUGGCGGCCUCGAGGUCGACGGCCUGCUGGAGGAGGUUGGAGCCUUGGUCGUCGUCCUCGAGCACGAUCUGGAGGGGGAAGUCGCCGAGACCGUCGGCGAUGGCGAGGAGGAUGCGGCGCAUCUCGGAGCGGAACUCGUCGCGGUCGACGGUGCCGCUGCGGUCCAGGUCGAACUGAUCGAAGAUGGAGUUGUAUAGGGCCGCGACCUCGGCCGGUGGGGUGACCACGUCGACCCCGAAGUGGGUCUCCAGGAGGCGGAAGGUCUCGAGGGCGCGCCGCAGCUCGGCGCGGGAGAGGACGCCGUCCCCGUUGAGGUCCAGCGCCGCGAACCGCUCGUCCACGCUCCGGUUGAAGACCUCCUCGUCCCCCACGAACGCCCGCACCGUCGACCCGUCCAAUAUCACUACCCCCA